rnacentral:lncRNA from 1 species
UGCACACUAGGCAUGGAGAAGAUUGGCCCGAGUCAUCUCCAGGGCCUUGCUACAAACCAAGAAAAACAAAGUUAGGAAAAUGACUACAAUUCAGAAUAAAGGAAAGCAAAACGAGGGAAGUAAUAUACCUAAAUGUAGCAUGAUGGCUUAGAAUGAGGGGUAGUGACUCCUGGUUGCUGGGGGGAUCACUCCCAUUGACUGGAGAAGGAAGAAUUAUGCCCGAGCCCUCACCAAAUGCCUAUAAAUUUCAAAGAUAAAGAGUAAAUAUCAGUAACUAAGUUAUGGAAAAGAAGAUGGAAGUGAAGGUACUUCUAUACCUAAGCAGAGACUUAAGUAAAAAAAGGAAG